CGGACGGGUGAGUAACACGUGGGUAACCUGCCUGUAAGACUGGGAUAACUCCGGGAAACCGGAGCUAAUACCGGAUAGUUCCUUGAACCGCAUGGUUCAAGGAUGAAAGACGGUUUCGGCUGUCACUUACAGAUGGACCCGCGGCGCAUUAGCUAGUUGGUGAGGUAACGGCUCACCAAGGCGACGAUGCGUAGCCGACCUGAGAGGGUGAUCGGCCACACUGGGACUGAGACACGGCCCAGACUCCUACGGGAGGCAGCAGUAGGGAAUCUUCCGCAAUGGACGAAAGUCUGACGGAGCAACGCCGCGUGAGUGAUGAAGGUUUUCGGAUCGUAAAGCUCUGUUGUUAGGGAAGAACAAGUGCAAGAGUAACUGCUUGCACCUUGACGGUACCUAACCAGAAAGCCACGGCUAACUACGUGCCAGCAGCCGCGGUAAUACGUAGGUGGCAAGCGUUGUCCGGAAUUAUUGGGCGUAAAGGGCUCGCAGGCGGUUUCUUAAGUCUGAUGUGAAAGCCCCCGGCUCAACCGGGGAGGGUCAUUGGAAACUGGGAAACUUGAGUGCAGAAGAGGAGAGUGGAAUUCCACGUGUAGCGGUGAAAUGCGUAGAGAUGUGGAGGAACACCAGUGGCGAAGGCGACUCUCUGGUCUGUAACUGACGCUGAGGAGCGAAAGCGUGGGGAGCGAACAGGAUUAGAUACCCUGGUAGUCCACGCCGUAAACGAUGAGUGCUAAGUGUUAGGGGGUUUCCGCCCCUUAGUGCUGCAGCUAACGCAUUAAGCACUCCGCCUGGGGAGUACGGUCGCAAGACUGAAACUCAAAGGAAUUGACGGGGGCCCGCACAAGCGGUGGAGCAUGUGGUUUAAUUCGAAGCAACGCGAAGAACCUUACCAGGUCUUGACAUCCUCUGACAACCCUAGAGAUAGGGCUUUCCCUUCGGGGACAGAGUGACAGGUGGUGCAUGGUUGUCGUCAGCUCGUGUCGUGAGAUGUUGGGUUAAGUCCCGCAACGAGCGCAACCCUUGAUCUUAGUUGCCAGCAUUCAGUUGGGCACUCUAAGGUGACUGCCGGUGACAAACCGGAGGAAGGUGGGGAUGACGUCAAAUCAUCAUGCCCCUUAUGACCUGGGCUACACACGUGCUACAAUGGACAGAACAAAGGGCUGCGAGACCGCAAGGUUUAGCCAAUCCCACAAAUCUGUUCUCAGUUCGGAUCGCAGUCUGCAACUCGACUGCGUGAAGCUGGAAUCGCUAGUAAUCGCGGAUCAGCAUGCCGCGGUGAAUACGU
rnacentral:rRNA from 1 species